AUACCUUUCUCGACCUUUUGUUUAAGAUCAAGUAUAGUAUCUGUUCUUAUCAGUUUAAUAUCUGAUAUGUGGUCCAUUGGCCCCAAUGAUAUUAAGGUUCCGUUCUCAGAAUUGGAAUCAGAAUUGAAAUCUAU
rnacentral:snRNA from 1 species